GAUAGCAUGGUGGGGAGAGACACGGAAAAGCACGAGUGAAAUGGGACGGUAGUGGAGGAAUGGCAAGAGGAAACGUGAGGACAGGAGAGACAGAGGGCAGAGACUGUUGGUGCGCCAGAAAGAAAAGAAUAAAAAAAAAACUAAAAGGAUAGAGAGAGGAGAGAUACGGAGAGUGCGCAUAAGGCGCGGGGAAAAGGGGAAAAAGAAAAGGGGAAAUAGGAGAUAGAAACCGGGGAGGAGAAGCAGAAACGGAGGGGGCAGCGGGAGAGACAGGUGGAAGGAUGGAGGGCUGCCUUGGGCAGCGUGAGAGAGAGGAGAAGAGUGAGAAGAGCACGUACUGACUGGAGAGAAGACAGAGAAGGCGGGAGAGAGAGAAGACAGGGACUAGCGCAGCAGAGCACAUCAGCAGGUGCAGGGAAGUCAGGAGCUAGGCAGAUCUUCUUUUCUUGGUUUUAUCUUCUCAAACUCAUGUUUUACUUUUGGUUUAAUUUGAUAAUAAUGUGUAACUAAAUUUAUUUUGGCUAGAGGUUAAUUCAAAGCCAUGAAUAUAUUUGUAAUAUGAAUUGAUUACCUUCAGUUGUGAAUUCUGAGUUGUGAUUUAAUUUGCUUAACUGCUUGAUUGAUAACUUAUUUUUGUAUGUCGAUUAAGAAUGCAUACUUAAUUUACAUGCAUGAAUUUGAUGCUAGAAUAUAAGUGAAUUUCACCUAAUCGUUAUGAACUUAUAUUCACAAGUAGUGAAGGUUGUUAUCUACAAUCGUGUUAAGUGAAUUCUAGGCUGGAUUAACAUGCGUAUUCCAUAGUUAUGAAUGCCUAGUCAAUGUUUAUGAUUUCCG
rnacentral:lncRNA from 1 species